rnacentral:rRNA from 1 species
UACGGGGGGGCAAGCGUUGUUCGGAAUUACUGGGCGUAAAGGGCGCGUAGGCGGAAUGGCAAGUCGGUCGUGAAAUCCUUCGGCUCAACCGAAGAACGUCGAUCGAAACUGCCGUUCUUGAGGAUUGCAGAGGAGACUGGAAUUCCCGGUGUAGCGGUGAAAUGUGUAGAGAUCGGGAGGAACACCGGUGGCGAAGGCGGGUCUCUGGGCAAUUCCUGACGCUGAGGCGCGAAAGCGUGGGGAGCAAACGGG